CAGCUGGCUUUUAGGAGGAAAAAAUGAGUUAUCCUCCCGAAUACCCUCAAACAUUAAAGUUAAGGCUACUAAAUCAUAUAAAGACCUAUUUCUCAAGAGGAAGAUGAGGGUUAGUGUUCUAAUGUUUAGCCAAAAAGGUCUAAGACGUAGUCCGAUAUAAUUUAAUGGUUGACGGCGCAAUCACCAUGCAUGCAGUCAAAUUGAAUACGAGUAUAUAUGUAUGGUAUAUAUGAAUUUUAUCUAAAUUAGGAUAUUUUACUUUUAAAUGAGCAGUCUUAAGCUAAACAUACCAUAUUAGCAUAACCCCGGAAAUUUGGAAAACCAUAUAUUUUUUGGAAUUUAAGGAGAUAUAUAACUUAAAAUAGACAUGUUUGAACGAGGAAUAUUUUAACUUCUUUUAAAUAACUGGCAUUUUUCUUUCUUAUUUUCAAAAGCAAAAAAAACGAGUGAAUUUAUGUCAUUAGGAUGAAGAGAUUAUUUCUACUCUUGUUAACCAUUCUAAGUUUCUAACUAUCUUCAUCAUUCUCGGGCAAGGUUGUAGACUGAAGCCUGACUGGGUGCAAACAAGAACGUCAAGGAAAACAACAUAUUUUGUUGCCAAAUUGAGAAUCAUAUAUUGAAAAGAUUAUGUUACAUAGAGACUGAACCUCGAGGACCGGAUUGCUAGAACCGAAAGGAAGAUCCGACGUUUGGAGUCGGACGUUCACAACUGGGAGAGGAGGGGAUUUGACUCUAUCGCUCGUAUUCCCGGCUGUCUUCGAGAACACUUCAGGUUUCUGAAGAAGCAUUGGGAUAUCUACCAAAGGAGCCUCGAACCCGACGAACGCGAAAACGGUUCAUCGUCCGAUGACGUUCCUUGUGCGAACCCUCCUCCUUCUUAAUUGUUUAUUAUUUUGUAACAUACUAUUGGGCUGGCGGCCCAGACAUUAAUUAUA